AUAUAAUUAAAAGGUAUUAGUAUAUAAAUAGAAAUAGAAUAUUUCUAAAAAUAUUCUUUUUUAGACUAGAAAAUAGAAAUAUACAUUGGAGAGAAAGCAACUCUAUUUUAGAGUAAGAUAUAGAGCUAUACAUUGGAGAUUGUCUUACAAAACAAGCACUGUCAGAAAGCCAUAGCACUAACUGGCCAGCCUAGCUUGUGAACACAUUAAACCUGCAA
rnacentral:sRNA from 1 species